ensembl:lncRNA LINC01856 long intergenic non-protein coding RNA 1856
GUGCCCGUCUUCCCUGCGACGGUUUUGGGGUGGAACAGGAGUGGCUCCUCAGGGGGAAAUGAAAGGAACUGAGGAGCUCCAGUCGUGAGAAGGCCAAUGAAGCAGGCACCGCCAGUUGGGAAAUGGACCUCCUUGGAUGCUGCAUUGUUUUCUCUGGCCCAGCUCCUGCUUGGGGCCUGAUGUACACCCUGGAUGGUGGCUACAGGUGGGGCACCCUGUGCUGCUCUGCAUCUCCAUCCAGUCCCCCAUCUCCACCCAAAACAGCUCAGUUCCCCAGAGAAGCUCCCUGGAAACCGGGAGGCUGACUUCUUCACCAACUGCAGAACCACCUGAGGCCACCUGGCAGAAUGCGAUCCAGGACUGCACGUGGCAUUCCGCUGCCGUGUCUCAGUGGGAUCCUUCCAUCCAGAACGGCUCCUCCGUCUUUCUCCUCCUCUCAUAAUUUUGACAGUUUUAAAGCAUCCAGGCUAUUUUUGUCUUUCAUAACCUUGACACUCUUGAAGAGUACUGGCCAAUUAUUUUGUAGAAUGUCCUCCAACUUGAGUUUGUCUAGUGCUUUCUCACAAUGAGAAUGAGGUUUUGUGUUUUUGGUGAGAACACCACAGAAGCAGGUUAUACCCUUCCCCAUGCAUUAUAUCAGGAGGCACAUGUGAUAUUGCUGCAUCCCAUUACUGGAGACGUUAACUUUGAGAGAUGAUGUAGCAAAGAUUUCUCCAUUGUAAAAUCCUAUUUUUCCUUCUGAACUUAAUGAGUAUCUUACAAGGAGCUGUCUUGGAGACUAUGUAAAUAUCUUGUUUAUCAUCAUACUUUCACCAACCAAUUUUGGCAUUCAUUGGUGAUUCUUGUCUGCAAUAUUAAUUACCACUGUGUUUUCCAACAGAUGAUUUUUCUACUUUCAUAAUUCCUUCUCCAUUUAUUAAUUGUAAUUCAGUGGUAAGGAAGAGCUGUCCCUUCUCUCCCAAUUACUUAUGCAAUUAUUUCAGUAUAGACUCAUGGAUAUUUAGUUUAUUCUACCAGUGAUAAUCCAUGACCAACAUCAUUUGUAUCAUUGUUCCAACUGUCCCAGGUAUGGCCAAUGUAAGCAUCUUCAAGUCACCCCUUGUGUUUGUUUGAAAUGCCCUUAUUCUAUUUUGAGCACUUCCUUUCUGACAUAAGAUGUUCCAGGAUUAUUUUAUAAUUUCACUGACCCCACCCUGUACUUAAUCAUUUCUCCAAAGAACUCUGCUUCCUUUAUUGAGGGAAUGUAUUUAGAAUCUAAGAUCUGGGUGCUGGAUGUCCUCAUUGUUACUGAGGUGUCACUGUGUCUAGGGCCUCUCAGCAGACAGAGCUAGGGAAUAUGGGUUACCAACUCUGAAACUAUUUUAUGGGUAUUCUGAGAUUGAGCAAAUAAGUAAAUACAUUGUAUUUAGUGGGAGGGAGGCAUCUCACUGUCAAAGAGAGAACUACAAAUAAAAAGGGAAGGGCAAAGUGAACCCUAUUGUGUUAGAUUAGAAUCAGAGGCAUCAGCAUGAGCUCCUGAUUUUUAGUGUAUGUACAGAUUGACAGAUAUAGAAAUAAAUAUGACCUGGCAAUUCCAUUCCUAGGCAUAUACCUAGCAGAAAUCCAUGGUCAUAAAAAAAAACAUGGACAAGAAUGAUCAUGCUGGGAGUGGUGGCUCACGCCUGUAAUCCCAACACUUUGGGAGGCUGAGGCAAGCAGAUUGCUUGAGUCCAGGAGUUUGAGACCAGCCUGGGCAACAUGGCGAAACCCUGUCUCCACUAAAAAUACAAAAAUUAGCUGGGUGUGGUGGUGCAUGCCUGUAGUUCCAGCUACUUGAGAGGCUGAGGUAGGAGGAUGGCUUGAGCCUGGGAGUCAGAGACUGAAGGGAGCCAAGAUUGUACCACUGCACUCCAACCUGGGGAACAGAGUGAGACCCUGAAGAAAGAAAGAGAGAAAGAGAGAAAGAGAAAAGAAAGAAGAAAGAAAGGAAGAAAGAAAGAAAGAAAGAAAGAGAAAGAAAGAAAAAAAGAGAGAAAGAGGAAGAAAAAAAAAGAAUGAUCAUAGGAUCAUAGCUGCACUAUUAUCAUAGUCCUAAGCUGUAAACCACGCAAAUUCCCGUUGACACCAGACUAAAGAAUGAAUGACCGACCACUACAUGCAACAUUAUGGAUGAAAAUACAAUUGCGGAAAGACAUUUUCUCAAAAAAUGCUGUGUGAUACCAUUUAUAUAAAGCACAAACCAGGCAAAUUAAUCCAUGUCACAAGAACUCAGUAUCAAUUUUCUGCAAGAGAAACGAGGGGGUUUCUGAGCUGCUGGUAGUGUUCUGUCAUUUGGUCUGGGUGCUGGUUGCAUUGGUGUGUCUAAUUCUUAAAAUGUAUAUACAUUAUUCAUCAGUAAAAAGUUUUUUAAAAUAUUCAU